rnacentral:rRNA from 1 species
AACGAACGCUGGCGGCAUGCCUAACACAUGCAAGUCGAACGAGACCUUCGGGUCUAGUGGCGCACGGGUGCGUAACCCGUGGGAACCUGCCCUUAGGUUCGGAAUAACUCCCCGAAAGGGGUGCUAAUACCGGAUAAUGUCUUCGGACCAAAGAUUUAUCGCCUUUGGAUGGGCCCGCGUUGGAUUAGCUAUUUGUUAGGGUAAAAGCAUACCAAGGCGUGCAUCCAUAGCUGGUUAGGGAGGAAGGUCAGCCACACUGGGACUGAGACACGGCCCAGACUCCUACGGGAGGCGGCAGAGGGGAAUAUUGGAAAAUGGGGGGAAGGAUGAUCCAGCACUGCCGCGUGAGUGAUGAAGGCAGUAGGGUUGAAAAGCUCUUUUACCCGGGAUGAUAAUGACAGUACCGGAAGAAUAAGCUCCGGCUAACUACGUG